rnacentral:rRNA from 1 species
GCUUGCUGGGGGAUUAGUGGCGAACGGGUGAGUAACACGUGAGUAACCUGCCCUUGACUCUGGGAUAAGCCUGGGAAACUGGGUCUAAUACCGGAUACGACCAUCUGGCGCAUGUCAUGGUGGUGGAAAGCUUUUGUGGUUUUGGAUGGACUCGCGGCCUAUCAGCUUGUUGGUGGGGUAAUGGCCUACCAAGGCGACGACGGGUAGCCGGCCUGAGAGGGUGACCGGCCACACUGGGACUGAGACACGGCCCAGACUCCUACGGGAGGCAGCAGUGGGGAAUAUUGCACAAUGGGCGCAAGCCUGAUGCAGCGACGCCGCGUGAGGGAUGACGGCCUUCGGGUUGUAAACCUCUUUCAGUAGGGAAGAAGCGUAAGUGACGGUACCUGCAGAAGAAGCGCCGGCUAACUACGUGCCAGCAGCCGCGGUAAUACGUAGGGCGCAAGCGUUAUCCGGAAUUAUUGGGCGUAAAGAGCUCGUAGGCGGUUUGUCGCGUCUGCUGUGAAAGACCGGGGCUCAACUCCGGUUCUGCAGUGGGUACGGGCAGACUAGAGUGCAGUAGGGGAGACUGGAAUUCCUGGUGUAGCGGUGAAAUGCGCAGAUAUCAGGAGGAACACCGAUGGCGAAGGCAGGUCUCUGGGCUGUAACUGACGCUGAGGAGCGAAAGCAUGGGGAGCGAACAGGAUUAGAUACCCUGGUAGUCCAUGCCGUAAACGUUGGGCACUAGGUGUGGGGGACAUUCCACGUUUUCCGCGCCGUA